rnacentral:tRNA from 1 species
GCGCUGGUGUAAGGCGAACAUCGCUGCCCGGAAAGCAGAAGAUGCGGGUUCGAGUCCCGCCUGGCGCA